CAGAGUUGCAAAACUCCUAAACCCUCUGUGAACGAACUUAAUAGUUGCCUCGGCGGAAGGCUCUUCAGUGAGCCGCCCGCCGAAGGCCCCCCUUAAAUUCUUGUUUUUUUGGCAUCUCUGAGUAACUUAUAAAUAAGUUA
rnacentral:misc_RNA from 1 species